CCCUAUUGCUGAGAAGCUGAUCAAACUUGGUCAUUUAGAGGAAGUAAAAGUCGUAACAAGGUUUCCGUAGGUGAACCUGCGGAAGGAUCAUUAUUGAAUGAAUUUGGUGUGGUUGUCGCUGGCCUUCUUGGAGGCAUGUGCACACCUACCAUCCUCAUCUCUCCACCUGUGCACCUCUUGUAGAUUUGGAAUUGAUUAUCCGAGGCAACUCGGUCGUGAGGACUGCUAGCACUUAGCUGGCUUUCUUUGCAAUUCCAGGUCUAUGUUUUUCAUAUACCCCAUUGUAUGUAACAGAAUGUAUCAUUGGGCCUUGUGCCUAUAAACCUUAUACAACUUUCAGCAACGGAUCUCUUGGCUCUCGCAUCGAUGAAGAACGCAGCGAAAUGCGAUAAGUAAUGUGAAUUGCAGAAUUCAGUGAAUCAUCGAAUCUUUGAACGCACCUUGCGCUCCUUGGUAUUCCGAGGAGCAUGCCUGUUUGAGUGUCAUUAAAUUCUCAACCAUUAUCAACUUUUGCUGAUAAUGGCUUGGAUGUGGGGGUCUAUUUUGCUGGCUUCUCAGAUAGUCAGCUCCCCUUAAAUGCAUUAGCCGGUGCCCCGCGUGGACUGUCUAUUGGUGUGAUAAUUAUCUACGCUAUGGACAUCUGCAAUCAUAUGGGUGUGCACUGCUUCCAGCAGUCUGUUAANNNAGACAAUACAUGACAAUUUGACCUCAAAUCAGGUAGGAUUACCCGCUGAACUUAAGCAUAUCAAUAAGCGGAGGAAAAGAAACUAACAAGGAUUCCCCUAGUAACUGCGAGUGAAGCGGGAAAAGCUCAAAUUUAAAAUCUGGCGGUCUCUGGCCGUCCGAGUUGUAAUCUAGAGAAGU
rnacentral:rRNA from 1 species